UACGUAGGGUGCAAGCGUUUAAUCGGAAUUACUGGGCGUAAAGCGUGCGCAGGCGGUUGUGCAAGACAGAUGUGAAAUCCCCGGGCUCAACCUGGGAAUUGCAUUUGUGACUGCACGGCUAGAAUCUGGCAGAGGGGGUGGAGAAUUCCACGUGUAGCAGUGAAAUGCGUAGAGAUGUGGAGGAACACCGAUGGCGAAGGCAGCCCCCUGGGUCAAGAUUGACGCUCAUGCACGAAAGCGUGGGGAGCAAACAGG
rnacentral:rRNA from 1 species